GGAAAAUAGCUCAGGGCUCCCACUGAUUCUACAUUAUGGACACAUAGCAACAAGGUGCUAUAUUUGAAGCAGAGAGAGCCAGCCCUCACCAGACAUGAAAUCUGCCAGCACCUGGAUUUUGAAAUUCCCAGCCUCCAGAAUUGUGAGAAGUAAUUUUCUGUUAUUUAUAAAUUACCCAGUCUAAGAUAUGUGACUUGUGCCUUCUGACACCAGAUCAUCAAAGGCACUGCUGCUUCCUCCUUGUUAACUUUUUCUGAGAUCACUUGCUUUGAGGCAAGCCGGAUGCCAUGUUGUAAGGACAUUCAAGGAGCCAGUGGAGAUGCCCAUGUGGUGAGAAAUGGAAGCCCCCUGCCACCUGCAAGGACUUGAGGCCUUCUGCAAACAGCCGUGUACGUGAGCCAUGUGGAAGUGGCUAGAUCUGGACUCAGACAAGCUUUCAAAUGCCUGCAGCCCCUGCCAACAUCCUGAAUGCUCCCCCUAGGAAACCCUGAAUCAGAACCACUCAGCCAAGCUGCUCCAAAAUUCCUGUCCCACAGAAAUUGUGAGAUAAUGAAUGUUUGUUGUUUUAAGUCACUAAGGUUUGGGGAUAAUUUUUUUAUGUACCAAUAAAUAAACAAUACAUUUACCUAUAA